UACGUAGGGUGCAAGCGUUGUCCGGAAUUAUUGGGCGUAAAGAGCUCGUAGGCGGUUCGUCGCGUCGGCUGUGAAAUCCCGGGGCUCAACCCCGGGCCUGCAGUGGAUACGGGCUGGCUGGAGGCAGGCAGGGGAGAACGGAAUUCCUGGUGUAGCGGUGAAAUGCGCGGAUAUCAGGAGAAACACCGGUGGCGAAGGCGGUUCUCUGGGCCUGUACUGACGCUGAGGAGCGAAAGCGUGGGGGAGCGAACAGG
rnacentral:rRNA from 1 species